GCAUACAUACAGUGGGAGCAUCUUUGUGGUGUGACUGCGUACCUUUUGUAUAAUGGGUCAACGACUUACAUUCAGUAGCGAGCUUAACCGAGUAGGGGAGGCGUAGGGAAACCGAGUCUUAAUAGGGCGACUAGUUGCUGGGUGUAGACCCGAAACCGAGUGAUCUAUCCAUGGCCAGGAUGAAGGUGCGGUAAAACGCAUUGGAGGUCCGAACCCACGCAUGUUGCAAAAUGCGGGGAUGAGCUGUGGAUAGGGGUGAAAGGCUAAACAAACUCGGAGAUAGCUGGUUCUCCCCGAAAACUAUUUAGGU
rnacentral:rRNA from 1 species